rnacentral:lncRNA from 1 species
ACAAAUAUGCCACAAUUUGAAGCAUGAAAAGGCAAGCAUACCUUGCCUGCAGAUAAUAUACUAUCGGAGGGAGGAACAGAAAAAGGUAGGUGCAUUGGCCCUCCUUGCAAUAUAUACUUCUUGACUGUACAUAAAUUUGAAGGUCAAUAAUGUCGAAUAAGAAACUAAAAUCACAACCUAUGAGUGCGAUGUUCACCAUCAUUGUGUACUCUCUUAAUACCUGACGUGGAAAACAGGAAAUUGAUGGCCCCUUGCAAAUUUUGAAUAUUUAGAUCAUUUAUAUUACUUAUUUAUCUUUGUGUGUCUCUAUGCAUGCCAAACGAUAACAAACAUAAAAAAUAAUAGCAGACACAUCAGAAAUGCAGUUGAAGGCAUUUCUUUCAAAUGAUCAAAAUGACAGUCAAAUAUGGGCUGUGAGGAUUGUCAUGCUCUCACAAAUGCGACAUACAUAAUAUCAGAAACAUCAACAGCUACUGAAACUGAAAACCUAAGAGACAGUAGCUUCAAAAACUAGUCCUACAUGAUGAAGAAAUCUACACUAAAAGAACUGCAAGUACACAGGAAACAGCAUGUGAGCUCCGCAUCCUACCUCGUACUUAAAGAGAUGCAAUUUGUAAAGAAAGAAUAAAGUGCUUCAAUUUUUUAGAAUCACGACCAUCAUCCUGUUGAGCAGAGAAAUUAAAGAACUCAUAGGGAAUCGACGUGAAAACGAAGUGCCGGUUGUCGACUACCUGACGCCCUCCCCCUCCUCCUUUAUCCGAGCUUGGGACCGGCAGCGUAAGAUAAACUUACACAGGCGGAGUUAGAAAAUCAAAGAACUGUAAAAAGAAAAUCAGUUAUGGACAAGAUGUCAAGACCAAUAGAACCGUAAAAGCAAAACAGUCCAAAAACACAACUGAGGACAACAGCGAGAAACUUGCAUUGCUGGUCCAAAACAGAACGUGACACAUAUAAUAUAGACUAAGGUAUGAAUACUAAAAAUUAAAGAGAGAACUUACAUUCCACAAAAAAUCCAUAAAAACAGUGGCAAGAAACAUGAUAAUUGUCCUUAUCGUCAACAAAACUAUCAACACGUUCACAAACUGACACUGAACACUUAACACACCAUGUUACCAUCAAAAUUCAAGCACAAUACACAGAACAUGCACACGCUCACAAGCCACUUAUGCAGAGGGAGUAAUUCAAAGGAAAAGAAAACAUUAAUUUGAUUUUCAAAUUUGGUAUAGUAAAUUAGUAAUUGAAAUCUUCAACCUUGAAACCUUUUGUCAAUAAAAAUAAAAAGAAAGUAAGAAGCUUGGGUGGAAAAGAAAUGUAUUAUAAAGCAUUCAGUGCAUUAAAAUUGGAAACGAUCCUAGAAGCAAAAUGAAAGGCAGGCAAUGUAUAAGUACGUCAGAGAAGAGGGCCCAGGUAAACACCUAUACCAAAUUUCUUAAUUAACUAAUGAACCAAAAGAAAUCAAAGCAUAUAUACUAAGAACGGAAAUAAAAUAUAUCCUGAUCAUAACUGUGCUUCUAUAUGCACGCCAUGGAAAUUAGACAGCUGCUGUCACCUCUACGUCCCUCUAUUGAUCAUUCACAGAAUCGUUCAUCCACAAACAGUCUGUCCAGUAAUUGAACCCGUCUAACGGUUGGCUGAAUUCGUCAAUUUGAGGCCACUCCCGGGGCAAUUUACCUUCAAGCGUUGUCAACCAUUCUUUAAUGUCUCCACGCACUGCUUCACCGUCUAAAGGAUAUUCCCCGCCGCCCAAGAAUAUUGGAGAAGAAGGAACAUCACUCAUCAGUGGCACAUAUUCAUGAUCUGAAAUAUGAGUGGGAAUGGGCAUCACAUUUCCGUUAAUGUAGCUUAUGCACCCCUGGUCGUGAUUGCUAGUGUCGCCGUCCAAGCAUAUGGGAUAAGAAGGAACAUCACUCAUCAAUAUCACACUAUCCUGAUCAGAGAAAUCAGUCGGCUUCGUAUUGCCGUUAAUGUUGGUUAUGCACUCCUGAUCCUGAUACCUAGUGUCAGUAAUCAUAUUGCUUUCAGUUCCAACAAAAGGCAAAACAGCAGGGGUAUUGGUGAUCACAUUCACAUUAGAAUGUUUUUGUGAACCCGGUUCUUUUCUUGCUCUCUUUCUCUUAAUCAGCGGCUUCUCAUUCGAUAAUUCUUUUCUUGCCCUCUUAAUCGGUGGCUUCUCAUUGAAGUCAUGAGUUGGACUUGAGGAAUUCAUCUUGUUUCCGCACCUAGACCUCGGAUUCCUUUUAAGUCGGGAAAGAACGACCUUUGGGCCAGCAACUACAUUAGGAAGAAGACUGUACUCUUCUAACAGCCAGCCGCCAUUGUUGUUAGAACCCUUGUUGUUAUACCUGAAAUGCCCUUUAUCCCCAAUUGGAAUUCCGUCCAAACCUAAAACUUUGUCGGAGGAUGUUUCGCUCCAAGUGCCUCCGGCUUCGAUCUGGCGUUUGCUGCGGCUAUCGCUGUCGCUUCUAGAACGCAGCUCGUAGAAGAAGAACAAGUCCUGAUCGAGUAGGGAAUUUCCACCGAAUUGCUCCCAAACCACCCAGGGUGGUGUUUGUCCAAAGAGAUUGAACUCGUGAACAAACGGGUUGCCCAAGGGCUUUCCGGAGAGGGCUCUAUCGCGAAGAUAGGAACUGACCAAUUCUUGAUCAGUAGGAUGAAACCGAAAACCCAAUGGCAUACCGUAAUAACCCACCUCCAUUGUUAAACGCGAUUUCAAUUCAAUGCAAUUCAAAACAAAACAAAUGCAGCAGCAAAAACCCUAAUUUUUUAUUGGGCACAAAAUAAAGAAGAGAAAUAAGCGGGAGAAAUUAAAGAGAAGAAAAAGGGAAACCUGGAAGCCGAUUUCACUCGCUCGCCGAGGAGAGCAGCUCGUCGACGCCUCCUCAAUCGCCGUCUUCGUCCCCAAACAAGAGCAACUGAAAUUUCGAGUAUUCUGUAAUUCAAUUCAACCGGAGACUGUUGGAGCACUGAAUUCUAGUUCUGGUUCAAAUUCGAACGCGCAGAGAGAGCGAGAGAGAGAACGCACAGAGAGAGCGAGAGAGAGAACGCACAGAGAGAGCGAGAGAGAAAGAUCUUGAGAGAGAUCUAGAGAGAGAGAGAGAGAGAGAGGAUUUGAAAUUUAUACGGAAGAAAUAUGACCGUUUGGUUUGGGAAUUGGAUGUUAACGUUGCAAACUUGCAAGGCUCACCGCUUAAGCGCGGGAUUUUAUCACGUGGCAUUUUCAUAUCUACGAAACCCUAAAUCCCCAAAUUGUGGAAUCCGGAUUCUCCCGGAUUCUUUUUGUGAGGAUCCUGAAAAUUUUUGAAUCAUAUUCGUUCAUUGUACAUCAUACAGUCAGAAAAUAUUUUAAAUAUUUUUAUUUAAAAUUAAAUACAAACAAUACCUGACAAAAACUGAUCGUACAAUAUAAGAUAAACGAACAUAAUUUACGGAUCCUCAAUAUCCCUACCAAAAUGAUCCGGAGAGGAUCCUGUUGGCAAAUUGUGAGCCAAAUGACUAGAAUAACGCAGGGAAAAAAAAGAAUUUCAAUUGGGCUGGGUUCCGUUUUUAACUUCUUGGCCUAUUUUUUAUUCAGCUGGGUCCAGUUCUUUUGGUUUUCAGGCAUUCUAUUGGCAAAUUUUUUUAGAUUUUUAUAUUAGAUUAACGAACCCAAAAAGAUUUUUUAGAUUAAGGGUGAAUGUUGGAUUGAAAGUUUCAAUUUCGACACGAAAAAGAUUUGUUUCGUAUUUUUAUUAACAUAGCAUUGCAUGAUUGACACGAAAAGUCAUAGUCACAAUGUAUUAAUGUCAUAAAAAUUGCUCAACAUGGAUAUAUUUCGCAAUAGGAAAUUGUGAUUAUGACUUAGACAUGAGAAAUCAUAGGAAAUCACGAUUUUUUUAAUUUCCUAUGUCCAAGCCACAGUCACAAUUUCCUAGGAUUGACACAAUAAGCCAUAAUCGCAAUGUUCACAUGGCGCUGCAUAUACAUUUUUCAUAGGAGUAACAAGAUUUUCUCCCAACUCUAAUACACCUUUAUGUUCUUCCUAUCCAAAACUAUGUUGGAGAAGAUUUCAUAAGAAACACGUCCGGAAUCCGUCAUUACCAGAUUGAUUAUUCAUGAAACGAAACGUAGAGGUCGAAACAAACAAUGAGAAACUGAGUACUACUGUUCGCUACAACGACAACGUCUGAAAAUUGAAACAAAAACUCAAACUGUGCUGAAAGAAAUGACAAGAACAAAAGUAAGUGCAGUCAGAACUGUUGGGAACUUCAUGUACAUUCAUAUGUAUAUUGUCUGCAGAUUUCCUCAAGAUUGACAAAAGUACAAAGUAAGACCACCAGCUAGACGAAAUAACAUACUGAAAACUAUUCCAUCCACAACAAUAACAACAACAACAAAGCCUUUUCCCACUAAGUGGGGUCGGCUAUAUGAAUCCUAGAGCGCCAUUGCGCUUGGUUCUAUGUCACAUCUUCCGUGUAAAUAAAAAGACUGAAAACUAAUAAACUAACUAUGAUUAAAACGGAAGUCGGAAAGAAAAAGCUGAAAGGUUACCGUGCUCAUCUAAAUUCUUGAACUCUACUAGUAGUAUAAAAACAAGAGCUGACGCUUCUAGAUGAUAAUAGCUUGACAACUUGAUUCACGCAAGGCGUGUAUACUCCGUGUAAAGUCCUCUUCCUCCUGCUCCGCUUCUAGAUGAUGAUGAUGGAGAGCAAGCAAAUCAAGAGAAAAUGGAGAACCGGGGCCCGUGGCCUUCCAAUGUUUCCAACCACAACUGGUAAAAUAAUGAUUUGAGAAGGAGGGAACGGGAUGAUGGUGAUGAGCAGAGUAGUGUGAUCAGGUUCAGUAGCUUGAUGUACAUGAUCUUGAUUUGGGUCUUCAUCAUCCUCUCCUCCAAUAUGAUUAAAGAAUUCAGUGAUCAAGUCCUCCUCAUCAUCCAACUCUCUUUCAUCCGUGGUUCUUGGCCCCUCCUCAAUCUCGUGACGAUGAUGACCGAGAUGAGUAGUUAGCGGAGGCACAACAGCAGCCUCGUCUGCAGCAGAGGCCGCAACAGCAGAAUCAGGCAGAAGCUCAAACUCGUCAAUUAAGGAUCCUAACAGAUCAUCAUCCCAGCAAUCAUAUGCUUCGGUGGUGCUGCUUGAGGACCCCUCGUGAUGAAGUAGAUCAUCAAGCUCCCUAAUCGAGUCCUCCAUUGCCAAAAGACCAUCAUCCGAAUCAUGAGUCCUCUGCCUCUUGACCGUAUCACCCAAAACCGUAACGGCAUCAUCGGAAUCGGAAUCGGAAUCGGAAUCGGAAUCAGGGAAACGCGGACGCUUGAGAGAAGAGACAGUGGGCCUCAAAUCUUGACCUCCCAUCUCCAAUUUCUUCACGAAACACAACACAAACAGACGAAAGCGGUGUGCUUUCUGUGAAAACCAAAACCCUAAGUCGGUAAUGUGGAAGAAGAAAAAGCAGAAAUUAAAGAUCAGCUCGGAGUGCGACUGAAUUGAUUAUACGGGAUUUGGGAAUUAGGGUUUCUUGUUACAGUGCUAGACAGACAGAAAUUAAAGAUACCGAGAAAUAAAACAGAAGAAAAGGCAAGAACUGAACCUGGAACUGGGAACAAGUCGUCGACUUUCUUCUCAGAGAAGAGGAUGGAUUCGUCCCCAAAUUUGAAUCGAGCUUCCAAUUUCAACAGACAGAGAGAGAUCAAGCGACAGAGAGAGAGAGAGAGAGCAACAAAUUUGAAUUGGGCUUCAAAUUCGGACGCACACAGAGAGAACGCAACAAUGCAACACGACCGUUUGAGCGAGAGUGAGAGCGAUCCAGAGAUCCAGUGAGAGAGUGGGAUGGGGGUUUUGAAAUUUAAAGAAGGGAAAAUAUGACCGUUUGGGAAUUGGACCGCUUAAACGCGGGUUUCAUCACGUGCCGUUUUCUUUCUGCUCUUUGGCGCCUGCGAGUGGGAAGCCCUCCCCAAUACAACCCAAUUGUGUUCCGAAUGACUAAAUUACCCUCGAAUUACGAAUCACGCAGUUCCCAGAUCUCAGGGUAUUUUAGUCAAACCAAAAACUCAAAGGAUCGCAGAAUCGUGUCACUGUCUUGGUUACUGAGUUGUUUGUGUUGAUCCAGAUGUAUGUGAGAAGUGGCGUUUGGGAGUAUGCGAUGCGAGUAAGGUGUUGGAUAAGAUUUUGAAAUCGAUAAAAGUAAUUGUUGAAUUUGUCCACCAUCAAUCAUUUUAAAUAAUUUCAUAAAAAGUUAUAUUAAAUAUGAAUAAAAUAAUAAAAAUACUCUUAAUUUAAUAAAUAAUUAGCCAAAAUGAUUUGAUAAGAAUUAAGGAUAUUUUUUUAUCAUUUUAUCCUUAUUUGAUGAAAAUUUUACACGAAAAGACCAAAAUGAUUGAUAACGGGUAAACUCAGAGACCACUUCUAUAGAUCUCAAAUCUCAAGAAUCGAAGUGAUAAGUUAUGUUAAUCUCAAUGAUCAUUUUGAUUAUAAAACUUUAAAUAAUAGACCACUGAAAUCAAAAUUGUCAAAUUCCUCCUCUGUAUUAUUUCCACACUCAUCUUUAUUCUCAACCCAUCAAAUUUCCUCAGCAUUAAUAUACUUUUUAACCAUGAUUUUCUAACAAUUUAGUCAAAACAUUUUCCAAAUAUCGAUUGUACACAUGUUUAAUGACUUUGAAACAAAAAAAAGGCCAUAUUUUAAUUACCAAAAUAUAUUUCAAAUACAAAUAGGAUAGAAUAGGGCUAGUGUCAUAGUGGAAACCAAGCACUCAUGUCGUUCACCGUUCGAAGCAGAAUUUAGAUGAACCAACAUUCUUGAUCAUACGCUAGUUGAGCGCAAACUGCAAAAACCAAAACCAAACAAUGACGCGAGAAGCAUCAGAUAUGCAAUGUUUUUCCCCGUUACUCAUUACUUGCUUUUAACUAUUACAAUGAAAGCAAUUCGGAAUAAUUUCACAGCAUACGGAUUCAAAAAACGAGUCCAAACACAAACGUUACUGAAACUGAUACGAAAAUAAAUAGAGCAUAUCUGCAUUCACAAUGGACAACUGCAAUAUACUUAAAUUAGGUCGUGGAACCCCGAGUUUAUAAGCACAUCGAUGUUAUGUACAGAAUAAUCACAUUAUGUUUCCACCAACACACACAAAUACCAACAGGCCAACCUUUUUUUUACCCUAAACGGCUUCUGCAUUUCUUCCAUUUCAGACCAUCAUAGUUUUCGUACCAUAGAAUCCAUCGUCUGUUGUACACUUGUUCUUAGCUUGCGUUAAGUUGUUUUCUCCAACAGACUCGGGAACACAGGAAGCUAGAAUACUCACCAACGGUGAUGGCACAUGUGGCAGGCGUGGAAUUGUUGUACGAUACUGAUCACAGGUCCAAAUAUACGUGCUAUACAUAUCUGCUGGACCCACCACCUCGACUGGUUACCUUUCCCUUUCCACCUUUUGCUUUGCUGCUUCCUACGUUUUUUGAGCUGGUUCACACAGCAAGCUGCUUGAGAGUCCACAUCACAUAGGCCUUUCUCUAAUGCCAUUACCAGGUUCUGGAAGUAAUUUUUAGUCACCCUGUCACAAUUAGUGAAUCAAUUUGUACUCACAGAUAACUGACCGUGCAAACACAAUAACAGACCUACUCUAAUUUAAAAAAAAAACUAAUCCGCAUGUAAAUUACAUGAUAAAUGACUAGAGACAGAAAAACCGGUUCUUGCACACUUUUAUUUAUCUUCCUUCCAGUUCCUAUACUAAAGACUCACUGAUUCGACCUUUUCGUUUGCUGCAUUUUGCAUCCAGACAAUGUUGAACAGACAACUAUACACUAGGUUGACCAAAAAAAAAAUGAUACACAUAACUCCAUUUUUUUUUGGACAAGACACAUUUCAACACAAAACAUCCCAUAGAAAAUGAAUUUCAACUAAUAUUUCAUCACAAUAUUUACCCGGUAAGUCCAGCUAGCUUUGUAUGGAAAUCAACGAAUUCUUUCGAUGGGCCUUCUGCACUAAGGAAAUGCAGUAGCUCCUUCUCUGCACACUGAUGAAGCCUUUCCAAAGCAGACUCUGCCUCACCUGAAGACAAAAGCAGAAUUGCAAAUUUCAGAAAACUUUAAAAACAACUCCUAACUAGUUCCUGCAGAUAUACACAGUUCAUACCUUGCAAGUACUCAAAAAACUGCCUCUUCGCUUGCUCACGCUCUGGCAGGUAGUACCCAUAAGCAUACGUCCAUUUUAGCACUCUCCUACAUUCAACAAUCUACAAACAUAAAGAAAAAAAGGCAAAAACAAUGUCAGCAUUUCAUCACCUAACAAAUCUGAUUUGAUGUUAUAAACUAAUUCAUGUUAUAUCUAACAAGAAACGCAGGAAUUCACCUGCUGCCAGGCAUCGGUUAUGAACUUGAGCUGAGACUCAGGCUCACGCUGUAUGUCACUAAGUUUCUCCAUCUGAGAGAGAAACAAGGUAUCCAUCAGUUCUUACAUAAUAACUUCACAGAAAUCCAUACAGCUCCCUCUUGCUUUGCUGCCUCGUAGCGGUUACAUGCAUAGAGACCACCCGUCCUUUCACCAUGCUCCGCCCAUGAACCAAGGCAAAGCCUGCAUGGUACAUAUAAUUCAUUUAGCAUCACGUGUAAAACUUAACCACAUUAGAACAGAAUCAAAAGAAAAGUAUUCAGACAUUUUUUUCAAACAAUAAUAAAUUUCCAUUGAAGUAAGAAACAGAAGCAGAAAGCAUACCAGCAAAAUUCAAAUUUGCAGGGUGGUGUGCAAGUCAUGUGCAUACAUCCUUGGUUUUUUUCAAUAGGCCGCUUGCACUUUGGACAUGGCUUAGAAUUGGCCAGUAUCCUGAGCAUCAUCAACAAAGGUUAGGACAGAACAAUACAAAAUGAAACAUGAAUUACCAAGAAUUCCACCAACUCACAUAAAAGUGUUAAUAAAAGUUAAAUUUCAAUGGUGUAUCUGAAACUAAAACUAAUCAUGUUUUCUCUUUGCACCACUCAAUUCAACAUAAUUAAUGAAUAUACUUCCAGAUGUUACAGGACCAGUGAACCAGCAUUGCGCCCUACACCAGCCACACUAACCCAUGCAUACACGUGUAACUCGCGCAUAAAACCUAUUACCAAAAAAAAUUAUUCUAGAAAAACAAAAUGAAGUGACCAUUACACUAGCUAACAAGCCCUACUUUCUGCAAUAUCCUGGUAUGUGCAGAUCCAGUUAAAUUCACAAGCACUACCUUUACUUCUUAGAGAGAGAGUUUUCUGCAUCCAAAAACUUAUGUGGCCUCUUUGUUCUUUUGAUUUUAUUGAGCAUGUAUUGGGAUUCGGGAUUUGAAGCUUGAUUUGAUUGGGUAUGACUGUUGACAUGCUUAAUAAAAUCAAAGACACAGAAAGACCACAUGAAUUUUGGAUACAGAAGAUUUGAACUCUACUUCAUAAGCCUUAAACUUUACCAUAUACAACAAAUGUUUGUACCAUAAUAAAUUUAUCACAUUCCCAAAAGUUUCAGGAGCAUGGUCAACUUAAUAAGUUAAUAUUUCCCCACAAUUUAUCACAUUAAAUUCCCUUGCAUAUCAAAAGCAGUGGAAGUCAUCAAAUCAGCACACGAAAAUUAAUGAAAAAUAAGGGUUAGAGAAGGAGAAGAAAAACAUAAUACUCUACUUAUGAAAAGCACAUAAUGAAGGGGUAUUCUUACCAUGGAAACAACCAGAAAGCCAAUAAAUGUAUCAAAAGAGAAAUGCAUUAAGUAAAAGUGUAAGGUCGUACCCAGUGCACAAGGCUUCCGCUUUACGCAGGGUCUGGGAGAUGUGAAUGUCGGCUAGCCUUACCCCCAUUUAUGGAGAGGCUGCUCCCAAGUCUCGAACCCGAGACCUACCGCUCAUGGGCGAAGGCACUUACCAUCGCACCAAGUGCGACCUCUCAUUAAGUAAAAGUGUAAAACCACAAAAUUCAAUUUUGGAUGCUCAGAAAAAAUACAAACCAGUUCAUGUUUUCAGACUCAGCACUGUUCUUUAAAAUCCAUUUCUCCACAGUGCUACAGUCGACGAUGAGCUUCCUCCGUACACUGCACAGCCAAAACAAAAUAUGACUCACCUAUAUAGAUAAGUUUUCGCUGAGAUAUUAAAUACCAAAAGUUACAAAAGGAAACUUACAUUCCAGCAAAAUCCAUAGGAGCAGAGGAAGAUACAUCAUAAUUUUCAAUAUCACCAACAAAAUUAACAGCAUAUUCACAACCGGGAUAAGGACACCACUUGGUCUAGCAGAAAAGAAAAAGAAUUACAAAUCAUGGUGAGAAAAAUGGAAAAACAUGAAAGAAGAAAAAUGAUGUUCAUAAAUUCCACUAUACCACACAAGAGUAACAGACAGGAACACAUCAUUGUUCCAUCAAAAAGAAAAUAAACCACUAAUAAAAAAAUGAUACUCAUAUAUUCACACUCACACGCCCACACAGGCACAUGAGUAAUUGAAAAGAAAAGAAACCACCAAUCAUUUUUCAAUAUAGUAAUCAAAAUUGUCAACCUUGUUGUAAAAUCGACGGUGGGUGCAGUGGAAUAAAUGAAACAAGACACAAAAUUUACGAGGUUCCUCUACAGUCAGUGUGACUGAAGUACGUCAUCGAGGCAGCAGUAGUGCUUUCAUUAUAAUUUGGAAUAAUAGGAGUACAAAGAUAACUCUCUUUAAUCUCCCCCUCAUUUUCCUCUUCUUCCUCUCUUCCUCUUCUUUCCUCUCUCUCUCUUUUCUUUCUUCCUCUUCCGUGAGUGUUGUUUUUAUAGAAGUAAAUCACAUGCUAAAUAGUGGAAGGGCAACUUGCCCAUUAUUUGAGUGGACAUCCAUUUCUACAACAAACCUGGUAUUAUUGAGUACUGAAACACAUAGAUAACACCAUUUUUUUUAACAUGACUUUUUUUAUCAUGAUAACUUUAGUUUUCUAUGCAAAAGGAAACAAAGUAAUGAGAUAGACGUUUGAUAAAGUUGAUACAUUAACAUGUUCUCUUUGAUAUUGUUAUUGAAAAGCCAAUCUUAAGAACAUUUAUAGAUGUUUUAUAUUAUUAAUAAUAAUAAAAUUCAAAUCUUGGAUAGCCAAAAACAUUUCAGAUUUAUUGUACAACUUUGGGUUUACAUCUCUAUAAAUAGCAAUGUUUUAAAAGGCUCGCCUUAGGGCGUGCCUAGGUGUCAUCUGAGGCUGGGCGUGAGGGUUGCCACCUCUGUUUUGAGGGAGUGGGCGGAAGGCUUUGCCGAAGCCGCCUAGACGUGGCUCAGGGUUUUUUUUUUUUUUUUUUUUUUUUAUCAAACUCUCAAACCCAAAUUUUGGGUAUGGUUUUAACUGCCUCAUACUUCUUCCUUGCACUAUCGUUUCUCUGCCUUUUUUUUUGUUUUUUUGUUUUAUAUAAUGGAUGUAUGUGUUGUCUGCGUGCAUUGUUAUAUGUGUGCUCAUUGUACUUUUCAUCCUCUAUUUUAUAUAUACUAGAAGAUGAGCACACACUUUGUGUGUGAACAAUUUCAUUUUCUUUUUUGUUUUUGAUUAAGGAGUGUGAUUAGUUUUUAAAAAAUUUAAAAAGAGUAUGAGACAAUGAUGAUGGGAUCUCUUAAUAAGGGCAUAUUUUUCUUAAUAUUACAUUACUACACCCCACCCCCGAUUUUAAAAAAUAGUUUUGGGUUUUUAUUUAAAAAAUCGUUUUUGGGUCUUAAUGUGUGUGCUCGUGGGGCCUCUUUCCUUUUUGGUCUCCCCUACCUAGCCUCCUUCAUUCUAUUUUCCUUUGGACUCGUGAGUCAUCUAUUUCCCUUUCUCUGCAACUCUCUCCUUCCUUCCCCGAGAAUCAUCGCACACACACACCCAUUGACAAUCACCACCUCAUCCACCCUCACCUAAACUUUCCCAUGUGAUUCACGAAACUUGGAACAAGGUUGGAGCACACCCAAAACCUCCUCGUUCUCGUGGCGUUGCCACUGUGCAUCUCCUAAGAAUCACCCAAAACUUCUUGGAUCGUACUUUGGGUAGUAUUUCUAAGACAUUUGGUGCAGGAAACGUCCCUGGAAACCCAAUUUUCAGCCAAACCAAGGCGAUUUGGCCAAUGUGCAAGGUAUCAAUCUCUUCGUAUCACUGAGUACUACAACUUUUCUUUUUGAAUCACCCAAUUUCGUUGAGUAUUGAAAAAGUUAUAUCCAUUUGAAUCUUACCCAGUUUUCGGCACCUCUGAGGCUUUCGAGUCAUUUUCCGACCAAACCACGAUGCGUUAGAAGUCGUGCGAGUUACCAUUCUCUUCAUCUCGUCGAGAACUACAACUUUUGUUUUGUUUCGCUCAAUUUCGUUGAGUAUUGACAAAGUUAUUAACAUUUAAAGUUUGUCUAAUUUCAGGCCGAAUUCCAGCCUUCUCUUUCGAAUGAGUCCGGCUACCCAAUCCUUUAAAGCCUAACCCAAAACCCUUUUGGAAAUUUAGGCCUUUGGGCCUAGGUCCUUUCAGCCCAAACUCUCCAACCCAACCCAAACCUUUUAUUUUUAUUUUGUUUUAAAACCCAAAGGAAUAGGGUCGGGCCUUCAAGCCCAGCCCAUUUGAGAACACAAGUGAGACAGGCUUUUGGGCCAUUGAACCAGCCCAAGACCCACGGGCUUUAAAGCCCAAACCUAAUAUAACCCAGCCCUAAACCCAUUUUAAAUUAGAACUCCUUAACCCAUUAACCCAUUAUCCUAAGCCCAAGCUACCUAAACCUAAACCUAACCCAAGUCCAAACCCUAUGCCCUAAACCUGAGUGGAACCUUCCAAGGAUAUUCCUAGAAUCUUUCGAGGAAUAUCCCGUGUUGACCUUUUUCGAAAAUUUAACCGGGACCUUUCUUAGAGUAAUUCUACGUCCUGAAUCCAUUUUCGAAGUCUGUUUUCCCAAAUUCAAUUGUUAUAAUAGAGUUUUAUUAAUUAGACCUUUUAUGUGCUUAGGGGCAAUUAUUUGUGACGAUUCCUUGUUCGCUAGUUUGCGUGGCUCUUCAGCGACGAAGUAUCUAUGAGUGGACCCCUUCUAAAAAUGCAUGUUUUAAUAGCAGAAAUGCAUACAUGAAAAGCAUGAUUUAAUGAUUACGUUUUAUGAAAUGUUUUAUGAGAUAACAUGUUUAUUGAGGCUAGCUUGAAUUAUUACUAUUCUUCCUAUAACCUGUGUUCUUUAUAGAAUAUCUGAUGGAUGAUGAUAUAAUAUUUAGAACAUGUUUCGAACACCUCUUUAUAGUAUAGAUCAUGGAUGAUUUUAUACUAUGAAGUUGCUUUUCAAAUAUAUGUAUGUUCAAUAAUUUUGUACUUACCUAGUGGUCCCUAUUCCACUACGGGACGAGGGAUAGAUUCCGUCCCGGGCGACGGUUAUAGUGUUGGCAUAGGGCCUGAAGGGUUUUUCCUUUGGCAAUUAGCACAUGGACGGGGAGCUGGCACGUGGCCUGGGGGUUAUUUUCCUCUAGCAAUUGGCACAGAGACGGGGAGCUAGCAUGGGGCCUGGAGGGAUAUUAGACGUUCACUAGUGAUUACGAUAUACAUGAGUUAUGAUUUGAGACAUUGCACGGCAUGUUAGGUUACGUAAAACCUAUUUUAUUUAUCAUGCUAUGUCACGCCCCGAACCUAACAUACGUCCAGGAUCGACGCGUGACGUCAUCCAGCAUCCGUAUAUCUAACAAAUCCCGCCCACGAGAUAUGUACCCUAUGUCAAAGGCCCUAUUGCGUAUAUCUAAUUUUUCGUAAGCUUUAUGGCUGCAUCUAACCUUCUCGUUAGACUGCCUAUGUACCCUAAACAGGGAUCAAGCCAUUCGUAGUUCAUCGAUCACUACCCAUCUACAUUUACCACAAUACAUUCAAGCCGAAAGAUAUAACAUUCCUCAAUCAAUCAUUAGAAUUUGACAAGUAUGGAAGUACUAGAUUCAAGGCUACAUAACAAUCCAAUAUGACAAUCAAGGUUUCCAUUCCACCUCUCAUAUAAGUCACUAUGUUUUCAACUUGAAACCUUAAUCCAUCACAUGUAACAUAUCCAAGAACCAACAAAGCACAAUAUUAUUCUCAAUGCCACAUUGAGCACCAAGACUAAUAAUAAUAAUAACAAUCAUAUCCCACAUCAUUCCGCAAUCAUUCUACUUAAUCAAUCCUAAAAUCAAGGAUUGCAUGAUAUCUACAAUUACUAUGUUAUUCAAUUAAUAAGGUCCCAUAUCAAUUCACAAAUUUUAAUAAAGGAUCUCUUCAUAUUUCCCUACCUGGAUUCCAAGUACUAACUUGAUAAGUCUAAUUUAUACACAAUGUCUACUGUGAACAAUUCAUAUUCACUCGACUCUAAGGUCGAACUACCUUUACGAAAAUGAGCAAGAGUAGGGAUUCCAGCCCACUCAACAUAAUCCAACCAAAAUACCAAGCGACCUAUUGUAAUCUCUUCAAACCUGACAUCUGUACAAUCAGUGCCUACACCAUGGAAAUGGUGUAUCGGCAUCAAGAAUUUAGAUAAGCUACAAAGCUCGGGUGAGUGACAAUAAUACAAGUAUGUGAUAAUAAUGAUAAAGCUAACCAUUAAUCACCGUUUACAUCUCUUGAAUAUAAAUCAUUCAUAAGAAAUCAAUACCAAACUUUUGUAAACCCCGAAGGAGUCACCCAGACAUCCAACGGUUCGUCUGAAACCCAUCACAACAUCUCACACCCAUCUUCUCUACAACACAAUGGAAAGUAGGGUUAGAGCGACACAGUUAGGCCGAAGCCUACACCUUUGAAGCCAUCUAAAUUCUAAUUCAAUGAAUCCCAAGGUGAGUACGAUCCCGGACCAUCACUCAACGGAAUCACGAACUAGGAGGGAUUCUGGACCAUCUCUCAACGGAAUCCAAAUGGAUACGAUUCCAGAGCAUCAUUCAACGGAAUCCAAACUAGAAUACGAUUCCGGACCAUCACUCAACGGAAUCGCAAAGUAAAAGGGAUUCCGGACCAUCUCUCAACGGAAUCCAAACCGAGAUACGAUUCCGGAACAUCACUCAACGAAAUCAUUGUGUAGAAGGGAUUCCGGACCAUCACUCAACGGAAUCCACAUAAGGAUACGAUUCCGGAACAUCACUCAACGGAAUCCAAACAAGCAUAUGAUUCCCCCAUCAAAUGUACCAAGUACAACUACUACAUGGUGUGGUCAAUUCAACACCUCAACUUAUCCACAUCUCAACCCCUAUGAGUUACAACGUAGUCACCUACACCAUCAACUUCUCAAGGUCACCACGAAUAUGUCACGCAAGCAUAUAAGUGCUACAACAUACUUCUAAUAGGAUUCUAGGAUCACAUUGUCAUAAAAAUAAUCACACACAUCAUUCACAUUACUAAAAAGAUAUCUUAACUCACAUAAGUCACAACCAUCAUCAGUACCAAGCCAAAUCAUGUUUAAUAAUCAUAGACCUAUGGCUAAAUAUAUAAAAAUCACAUUUCAAUAGAAAUCACAUUUAUAAAACCAAUUCAUAUUCACAAUUGAUACCAAUACAAGAAAUUAAGAUAAUAAGUAAUAUCACAAAUAUUCAAGUCACUCUCCAACCAAUGUAGGCCUACAAGACUUCACUUAAGUCUCCUGUGGUACUAAUCUUAGUCUUAAGAACGUUUGGAGACAGGUUGACCGAAAGUCAACUCUCGUUCAAAGAUAGGGUCCACAAUUCUACACAACUUGGUCCGUAAGAUCCGCAUAUUGGAUUUUGGAUCCGUAACUUUCUAAAGUCCACAUUACACUUUUAAAACAACCUACUAAAAUUUCACCAUGAUCCGACGGUCGGAUCUCCGCUAAUUACAAAUUCAAGUGGCGGCCAACGUUUGAUUUUACAAACUUAGAAAUUCAAUUCAGGAAUAUCUGUACGUCAGAUCCCCGAUCCGUCAGUUCCAACUAUCCUCAAAUAUUACGUUCUAUAACGUAUUAAAGUUUGGUGACGAUUCAACGGUCGGAUCGUCGAUUCACAUUUUGACCAAGUAAGGUAUCGUAAUGAAACUAAGUCAAAACAAUCAAAUUACGCCAUACGGAUAUCAAUUAUGAAAUCAAGGCAUCUAUUUGAACUUAAAAGGACAUCAUCGGCCCACUGGCAAGGCCGCCACCACACGCACCGCCGCACGUGACGGUUGGCCGCCCCGACUUGCUGGAAAAUUUCAACUAUUUUUAAAAAUUACCAAAAAUUACAGAAAUGAAGAUCUCAAAGAGUAGAGCAAACUUUAUACCUGUAGCCAAGUCCAAUUUGGCCUGGAAACACCUCAAUUUCGCUCAAACCCGCUAAAACCCUAGAAAAUGGUGUGCUUUGAUUCGGCUUCCAAUCGAACUUCGACGCCUCCAACACUGCUUGGAAUUUGUUCAGGGGCUCAAGGGAAAUCUUUUGGUGGUGGUCAUUGGGUGUCAACAUUUUGGAUUUGGGAGAUUUGAACACACACACCCGCCGCACCCUUAGUACGAUUUCUCCCUAAUUCAAGUCCAAAACCUUUGAUUUUUGGGGUGAAACAUGUAGAGGGAAGGUCAAGAGAGUGUUUCCAAGUGGUUGUUUGAAGAAAUUCGUCGGAAAAUGGAGAUGGGUGGCCGGCAAUACCCACGGGUCGUACGGACCCGUUUCUCCCUUUCUUCCUUUUUCCUUCUUCUCUUUUUUUUUUCUCACGCCACACCCGUGGCUUUUUCUCUUCUUUUUUUUUUUGCAACACAACUUUAAACGUCCGUAAUUAUACCGUUAUAAUCUGGACUCACAAACGGUUUUCAGCUAUGCGUUCGUGAUCUCGAUAUCUAUUCAAUAAUAUAAUUUGUGACCUCGAAUGGUCUACGGAUUUUAAAUAAUUAAUUUCCAAAAAAUACAUACAAUCCCGGCAUCAAGGCACUUUCACAGCGGCACCUUCGAGUCCUCUCGGUGUAGGACCCAUUCUUUUAUUCAUUCAAUUUUAUAUUAUUUCUUUUAGUGUUCUAGUUAGUCGUAUGCUCUGAACACAUUCCUUUUGUGCACAUUAAUUAUAUUUAAAUUUCUUUAAUCUUAUUCAUAUUUUAGUCCUUAUGCAUUCAAUAAAUGACUUUUGUCACCCUCAGGUGUUGACCAACACUUGUUUAUCCUGGUAUUCGGGGAAUAUCGAGAUCGGGGCGUGUCAUACAUAAUUACCAUUUUACCAUUUUUAUGUAAAUACUGUGUAUCAAAAGUGAGGGUAAAAUAGAAAAAAAUAGGGAUAUGAUUGUCAUUUUCUUAAAAGAUACAAAAUUACUAUUUUGUCCUCCUUAUGUAAGUAUUGUGUAUAAAAAUUGAGGGCAAAAUUGGAAAAAAAGUGACAAAAUUUUGACAAGGAGGGUUCUCUUAAUAGAAUAGAUAUAUAUAACAUAAUAUAUGUAUAUAUAUGUGUACUCAUGGUGAUUAUUGAUUAAUAAUUUUUUUUUAAUAUAAUAUAUGUGUACGCUCAGUAUAUAUAUUAAAAAAUUUAAGUCUUGUGAAGCUUCACCUCACUUCUAGGCCGGACUAUCCUUCGUCUUACCACGCCUCACGCUUUUAAUACAUUGAUAAGUAGACAAAAUAAAAACCACUUUUGAAUCUUUUAUUAACUUCAAAUCUACCCCUAAAGAAGUGAAAAAACACGGGCUAGACUGAAAGAGCUCAACAACAUGUCUCGUACUUGAAAGAAACUAGACUUUAUAAAAAAUUUAAGACAAAUUAAUAAAGUAGUCCAACUUUUGGUCAUCCAUUAUUAGUAAUGUGGAGUCCAUUGAAUUAAUGGCUGACAAGUGCCCCAUUCAGGACAAGUAGUUGGUGUGGUCAUGUUGAAGACUAAUAAUAUUCAAAAAUUCCAAGCGUCAACUCCACGCUAGACGGGAAGACUCGGGUCAGUCAACACUGGCACCAUCAGCUCUUGAAUGAGUAGAAAAUCCUUUCAGAAAUUCCAAGCGUAAAGAAAGGAUUAGAAACUCUGCACCUCCAAAGUUCGUACUAGCUCAUUCACGCAAAUAUAUUCAAUUUUAUUACUUCACUUGAUUGAAACUGAAAUAUUAUGUUUAAUUUUGUCAAACAAAAACUUUUAAGAUUAUCCAUAUAUACACUAUACAAUUUACAAUUUACUAUUGGAUUGUUUUAUUAACACCUCACAUAUUGUUGAAUACACCUCACAUCUACUUUUUCAAUCAAAAUGUAUCCCCUCCUGAGCAUGGGGACUAGAGACUGCUGAGCAGCCCAUCUGAGCCCUUGAAAUUUGAUCCAACGGCUGUAAUUAUUAUAACUUUUAGAAGGACCUCCUGUUUGUAGCCGUUAAAUCAAAUUUCAAGAACCCAGAUGAGCCGCUCAGUAGGCUCCGGUCCCCAUGCUCAGGAGGGGAUCCGAUUCCCACCUCACAUAAUUUCCUAUACUACCCUCACACCCCAAACUCUCUACAUACACCCCACAUUUUUUCACAUACAUUCAACAUUCUCUCAUUAUUCAUUCUCACCACACCUCCAAAUUUCAAGACUCUCGCUAAACAUGUAAAUGCUAAUUAUGAGGUCAACUAAAUGACAUUCGAUUGUUGGUUUAUUUUACUGGUAGAGCACAAAUCCAGAAUUUGUAUCCUUACUCCUUUAGAGUUAAUCUCACAAAAUUUUGACCCACAAAAGAAUGAUAGGGCAUGGGUGAAUUUUUUUUUUGCUUUUUUCAAAAUUAUAAUGGGUUCAAUUCUUUUUAUUGUACAAAACUUAAAAAAAAGGUAGUGCCGACUACCAAGCUUACCAUUUAGAGAAAAAAUUGUUUAUAUUAUAAUGGAUUUAUUCUUUUUUUUUUUUUGUUGAGAAACUUAAAUCUCAAAGCUUUUCCUUAAACCUAAACUCCAAGUCUCUCUGAUUUUCUUUCUCUCUCCUUCCAUUGAAAUUAAGAAAUGCAAUAGAAAAUCACAAUUUAGAUCAUUCUCAGUUCAGGUGUAGAUGAGAAAAUAUUGUAAAUUAAGGUACAAACAUAAUUAUUUCCAUGAAUGUGAGCAAUAAUAGAAAGUAUAUACUACUACAGGCACUUGCAAGGAUUAGAAAGGUCCACUCGCAUGGCCUUCAACAUUCAUUCUUUUGUGUUGCCACAGUGGAGGCAUUUCUUGAAGAAACACGGGUACGUAGUAUCAAAUCUUGGAGUUGCCACAGGAGAGACUGCACCCCGUCUUCGUGUGUGACAUACGUUUACAUGCCUCAACCCACACGCUUGACGUUCAUGUUGGAUAUUAUAUGCGUUAACUGUUGUGCUUUGGCCUGUUCGUUAGUGCGAAAAUGAGAUUCAGAUUACAACAUCACCAAAAUACAAACCCACAGUUGAACAAUUCAAAAUAUAAGAAAUAAAGACACCGAGAGAAUUACGAGGUUUGUCAAAAACUUGUCUACGUCCCCAAAGAGAUAUUGUUAUUUACUAUGAGAAUAACAGUACAAGUCAUGAGUUAAAUUGACAUAACCCAAUCUCAAAUCCCUUAUACACCCACUCCUAGAAUUUUCCUAAGAGUCUCAUCCUACCCCAAGAGUUCUUUCAUUAGAAUAAUAUUCACUCUAGCUCUCUAGAUUUUUAUCAACCCAUGGUCAACCUUUCCCAUGGGAGAGUCCGGUGCUCUCCCCCCUUGGAUGCUUCUAUGAUGCUUACCUUCCCACUUUCCAAUACCAAAAAGUCUUAAAUUCACAUAACAUAAUCAACACCUAGCCUACCUAGCAUGCACCAUUUCUUCCUUUUUCCUUCUUCCCUUUUUUUUUCUCAAGCCACACCUGUGGCUUUUUCUCUUUUUUUUUUUUUUUUUUUUUUGCAUCACAACUUCAAACGUCCGUAAUUAUACCAUUAUAAUCCGGACUCACAAACAGUUUUCACCUAUGCGUUCGUGAUCUCGAUAUCUAUUCAAUAAUAUAAUUUGUGACCUCGAAUGGUCUACGGAUUUUAAAUAAUGAAUUUCUCGAAAAAUAUAAAAUCUCAAUAACACCAAUACGUAUAAUAUAAUAGUGAAAUUCAGGAACGGGAUUUCACAUGCUAUAUGUGUUUUCAUAAAAUAUGAGGGUUAGUAUGUUGAUAACUGUUUUACUAUAUAUAUAUAUAUAUAUAUAUAUAUCAACUUGGUCCACUCAUGUUUGUUUUGCGCCCCCUUCAGGACUUAGAAUCGAGGCAUACAAUCCCGGCAUCAAGGCACUUUCACAGCGGUACCUUCGAGUCCUUUCGGUGUAGGACUCAUUCUUUUAUUCAUUCAAUUUUAUAUUAUUUCUUUUAGUGUUCUAGUUAGUUGUAUGCUCUGAAUGCAUUCCUUUUGUGCACAUUAAUUAUAUUUAAAUUUCUUUAGUCUUAUUCAUAUUUUAGUCCUCAUGCAUUCAAUAAAUGACUUUUGUCACCCUCAGGUGUCGGCCAACACGUGUUUAUCCUGGUAUUCGGGGAAUAUCGGGAUCGGGGCAUGUCAUACAUAAUUACCAUUUUACCAUUUUUAUGUAAAUACUAUGUAUCAAAAGUGAGGGUAAAAUAGAAAAAAAUAAGGAUAUGAUAAUCAUUUUCUUAAAAGAUACAAAAUUAUUAUUUUGUCUUCCUUAUGUAAUAAUAUUCAAAAAUUCCAAGCGUCAACUCCCGCUUGUCGGGAAGACUAGAAACUGGCACCAUACAGCUCUUGAUUGAGUAGAAAAUCCUUUCAGAAAUUCCAAGCGUAAAGAAAGGAUUAGAAACUCUGCACCUCCAAAGUUCGUACUAGCUCAUUCACGCAAAUAUAUUCAAUUUUAUUACUUCACUUGAUUGAAACUGAAAUAUUAUGUUUAAUCUUAUCAAACAAAAACUUUGAAGAUUAUCCAUAUAUACACUAUACAAUUUACAAUUUACUAUUGGGUUGUUUUAUUAACACCCCACGUAUUGUUGAAUACAUCCCACAUCUACUUUUUCAAUCAAAAUUUAUCCCCUCCUGAGCAUGGGGACCAGAGCCUGUUGAGCAGCCCAUCUGAGCCCUUGAAAUUUGAUCAAACGGCUGUAAUUAUUAUAACUUUUAAAGGGACCUCCUGUUUGUAGCCGUUGAAUUAAAGGUCCAGAUGAGCUGCUCAGUAGGCUUCGGUCCCCAUGCUCAGGAGGGGAUCCGGUUCCCACCUCACAUACUUUCCUAUACUACCCUCACAUCCCAAACUUUCUACAUACACCCCACAUUUUUUCACAUACAUUCAACAUUCUCUCAUUGUUCAUUCUCACCACACCUCCAAAUUUCAAGACUCUCGCUAAACAUGUAAAUGCUAAUUAUGAGGUCGACUACAUGACAUUCGAUUGUUGGUUUAUUUUAUUGGUAGAUCACAAAUCUAGAAUUUGUAUCCUUCUCUGUUACUCCUUUAGAGUCAAUCUCACAAAAUUUUGACCCAAAAAAGAAUGAUAGGACAUGGGUGAAUUUUUUUUUUGUUUUUUUUCAAAAUUAUAAUGGGUUCAAUUCUUUUUACUGUACAAAACUUAAAAGAAAGUAGUGCUGACUGCCAAGCUCACCACUUAGAGAAAAUUUUGUUUAUAUAUAAUGUAUUUAUUCAAUUUUUUUUUUGAGAAAUUGAAAUUUUGUUUUGGAGUAGUUAUAGAUUUUGACUACAAAAAAAUGUUGUAGUUCUUACAAAAUCCAUAAUGAAGUAUGUCUGGUUACGAAUUCAUAACAUUUUUUUAUUUUUAGGGUUUUAGGGUUCGGGUUUAUGACGACCAAUUCAGAGUUAGGGUUCAUAUUAGUAAAUAAUUUGUGUAUUCUAUUUCUUUUAAAAUUUAUAGGGCUAAAUAGUCAUUUUAUGUUAAGAUACAUGAGUGAUUUAAUAAUAUAUAUUUAUGUGAGAUGUAUUUAACAAUAUAUGAGGUACUAAUAAAAAAACCCUUUACCAUUACCAUCGUCAAUCUUCAAACAUAGUUCUGUGGUCCAAUUAGAAUGGGGUGUGCCCCUUCCAUGUUUACUAUUCUACAAAUCAGGACAUGGAGUUAGCGUGGUCAUAUUGAAGACUAAUAAUAAUAUUCAAAAAUUCCAAGCGUCAACUCCACGCUUGUCGGGAAGACUAGAAACUGGCACCAUACAGCUCUUGAUUGAGUAGAAAAUCCUUUCAGAAAUUCCAAGCGUAAAGAAAGGAUUAGAAACUCUGCACCUCCAAAGUUGUUACUAGCUCCCAUAUUUAUUUGUGACGCUUACAAACUGGCGAAAAAACAUAUCCUACUGCAACUCUAAACCAUGACAUUUCUUUAUAUGCUCCUGCUGCUGUCCGCAUUCCCACUGAUCAAAACGACAUCAAUAUCGCCAAGACAACAAGCUGAAUCGCUCAUCAAAUGGAAGGACGACUGGUCUUCAUCACCUUCGCUACUCAAUUCAUGGUCCCUCACCAACCUCAACAGCCUCUGCAACUGGACUGCCAUUUCCUGCUCCAAAACCAGAACGGUCUCCAAAAUAGACCUCUCCAAUAUGUACAUUAUCGGAUCACUGUCCCUUUUCGACUUUCCCUUAUUUCCAAAUCUCACCCACUUCAAUCUAAAUGGCAACAAUUUCCUAGGGCGUAUACCGUAUGCCAUUGGAAAUCUCUCCAGGCUCACAUCUUUGGACUUGGGCAACAACUUGUUUGAUCAACAAAUUCCAUCUGAAUUUACAGGCAUGCCUUCAUUGACGUUCCUCGACUUGUCUCAAAAUAAUUUGUUUGGCCAAAUUCCAACUUCGAUUGGCCAACUUAGAAAGCUUCAGUACCUUGAUCUUUCAUACAACUCCUUAAACUCUUCUAUCCCUCUCUCUGUAGGCCAACUCAGGGAGCUCCAGUACCUUGAUCUUUCAUACAACUCCUUAAACUCUUCUAUCCCUGUCUCUAUAGGCCAACUCAGGGAGCUCCAGUACCUUGAUCUUUCAUACAACUCCUUAAACUCUUCUAUCCCUUCUGAGCUUGGUCUUUGUACAAGCCUCACGCACUUGUACCUGGCUUCCAAUAAACUCAACGGGGAACUGCCUCUGUCCUUGUUCAAUCUGAACAACCUUGUCGAAUUGGGUUUGGAUAAUAAUCUAUUUACUGGUCAAAUCCUUCCUUCUCUGGUCUUCAAUUGGACUAAAAUGGUCUCUUUGCAACUUCAGUCCAAUGAACUCAGUGGGGAGAUUCCUCAGAAUCUAGGCAAUUUAUCUCAGCUUCAGCUGCUCGAUUUGUCACACAACCAUCUUUCAGGGCAAAUCCCACCAUUUGUCAACGUGUUAUCUCUUCCUGACUUUGAUUUUUCUUAUAACAACUUGACUGGCCUAAUCCCAUACAACUUCCAAUGGGCACCAGCAAAUGCUUUUGCUGGAAACUCUGGCUUGUGUGGGUAUGUACAAGGACUAGACAGUAUAUCAACUUGCCCCAACAGAAAUUCCGCAAAGAAUAACAAAAGAGUUCUAAUUGGUGUCCUUGUACCUGUUUGUGGUUUAUUAAUGGUUACAAUUGUCAUUGGUCUUAUGUUCCGUAAAAAAUCCAGUCUCGUUUUGAACAAAGUCAACACUUCUGAAAACUUUGAGAGUUUGGAGUCAAUGAUAUUGCAAGAGGAAGUAAAGUUUACGUUUGCGGAAGUUGUGAAGGCUGUAGAUGACUUUCAUGAGAAGUACUGCAUUGGGACAGGAGGGUUUGGAAGGGUUUACAAGGCAGAGUUGCAAUCAGGCCAAGUUGUUGCAGUUAAAAGGCUUAACAUGUCAGACUCUAAUGAUAUUCCAGCAAUUAAUCUCCAUAGCUUUCAGAAUGAAAUCCGAACUUUGACAAGCAUCCGGCACCGGAACAUCAUAAGGCUCUAUGGCUUCUGUUCAAGAAGGGGGGGGUUGCAUAUUCCUGCUUUAUGAAUACUUAGAGAGAGGAAGCCUGGGAAAAACUUUGUAUGGAGUUGAAGGUGUUAAUGAACUUGGUUGGGCUACUAGAGUCAAAAUUGUGCAAGGACUUGCUCAUGCACUUUCUUACUUGCACCAUGAUUGCUCUCCACCAAUUGUGCACCGUGACAUAACCGUCAAUAAUGUAUUGCUUGAGUCUAAUUUCGAGGUUCGUCUCUCAGAUUUCGGAAUAGCCAGGUUAUUGAGUACUGAUUCAUCCAACUGGACAGAUAUUGCUGGUUCGUUUGGCUACAUAGCACCAGGUAAUGUAAACUUAAUUUGUACAUUUAUGAUUCAUCUUUUUGCUUAUUGGGAUAUGUUUUAAGGUAGCCAAUUGUGUUUUUAUUGAUGUGUAGAGCUUGCAUACACUAUGCGAGUCACGGAUAAAUGUGAUGUAUAUAGCUUUGGAGUGGUGGCGCUCGAAGUCAUGAUGGGAAGGCACCCAGGGGAUAUGCUAGAGUCCCAGCUACAAGAAUCAUCAAAAUCAAGGAGGGACAAUGUAGAAUUGCUCCUGAAAGAUUUGUUAGACCAAAGGUUGGAGCCGCCAACCAAUGAAUCUGCAAAGGCAGUGGUGCUUGUGGUGACAAUGGCCUUGGCCUGUAUACGAACGCGUCCUGCGUCCAGACCCACGAUGUUAUUUGUGGCACAAAAACUCUCGGCUCAAACCCUGCCUUGCCUUCCCGAACCAUUUGGUAUGUUGACAAUCAACAAGCUAAUGGCACUAUAAAAAAUAAAACAAAAAAAGAAGACAAGGGCGAAUAGCUCAAACUUCCCUUUUGUAUUCCUACCACACGCAAUUCCAUCUAAUUUCUCAUGUAAUAGAUAUUCAAUACCGUAAUUACUCAUCUGUAUUAUUUGUCGAAUGCGGAUUAAUGUGUGAUGAACUUUCUUAAUCGUAAUUGCAUUAAACCGAUAAUCCAUAAUGUGUCAAAAUAACUCCACAAUUAAUAAAAAGAAAAUUGAAUUAUGGAUUUGUGUCCUUCCUCUAGUUCAAAGAGCUACCCUAAAAAAUUGAACCUACAUGGAUAAUUUUCACCCUGGAUUACUUUGAAAGCAAACACAUAUGGAACUACAGGAUGCAAUCUGACCUUGCAUCUUUGAACCAUGUCGCGCAUCGAAGUACAUUUGAUCUUCCAGGCAUUCUUAAACUUUUCCGCUAUGUCGAAUAUAGGUUUGUGCCUUUCCUCUCUAAAUCUGGCAACAGCCAGAACUGCUUUCACAUUCACACUACAGCACAAUAGAAGACACUUUGACACGACAAUAUGUUAAAUUAGCAAAUGGGGAAGUGGUGGAAUAACACCGUAGUAUUGUGAGCAAGUCUCGGGUGUCAAGGCCACGGGGGAGGUCCCUGUGGCUUUGGAACCACCGACAUAAUGAUAAACAAGCGUGGCUACUGUGCCUCAAUCCAACACGGACCAGGACAGCAAAUCUAUAGCUUCUGUGCGUUAAACCAAAUCCCAUCAGGAGUUGUUCACUUCUCAUAGUCUUUGAAUUAUAAUUGUAACUCUUUUAGUUUAAUCGUUGUCCUACACGGAUUCAUCAAACCAAAAGCACAUAUGGAUUGGAGACAUGGGGAGACAGUAUGGUAUCUGCUUACUGGUUGACUUGCUUUAAACGAUUUUUGAGCUGAAAAUUUCUCGCAAAACUAAUAAACUAGAACAGAGAAUGCAGCAAAUAAGUUGACUCUGCAGAAGUUGCUGAAAGAGCAAAAAUGGCUGGAUGAGAUGUGACCCUUAUCGCGUUGGACUUCAAUUGUCAGGUGAUACUUUCAGGCCAUGCUUUGCCUUUAAACCGACUGCAUAUGAUUGUUAAAAGACUGACCAAGACUGUUAUAAGAGUCCAGAUUUUCACUUUGUGGUUCAUUCACCUACGCAAUGAGAAACGUUCUACAAUCGAACUAACAAAGAGGCGCAUGCAGUGAGAAAUCAUCUUCGUUGAAUUCUGAAUCAACUCCCUCGUGUCCAACAAACUCAGCAAGGCCCAUCAACAUCAACUGGUUCACUGACAUGAACUUUUCCAUUUUCGGGUUCUACAGCAUAAUAUUUGGCAUCUAAAGGUACAAUUUUCCCACAACCUUUGGUUGCCCUGCUCAACCUUGAAGGCAAAGAAUUAGUCCGCCAGACACCCCUUGUAUUUUUGCUUCAAUUUCAUAAUCUUCGAUGCUGCUGAUCCUGAGCUGAAACUAGUCUUACCCCCUGCCCUUAUUCUGUUGAGAAUAUCGCGCUUAAGAAUGGAAAAAACAAGAACAAACUCCGGAAAUCAAAAAACAAAUAACCAAAAUAAAUAACACCAAGAAUUUACAUGGUUCAGCAAUAUGUGCCUACGUCCACGUGACAGCAAAAACAAUCCUUCACUAUAUCAAUAAUGAGUACAACCAAUAAUCUUGCCAAAUCUCUAGAACUAGAACUUGACGAAAAACCUGAAAGAACAAGAACAAGAAAUACACUCUCUUUUCUUUUCUCUCGCACACACAAUAUUCUCUCACUCUAAUCUCUUGAGUGGUAUACAAUUUAUUGUUUUGCUCCCUUCUCAAAUCUAGUAUAAUAGCCCCUUUAUAUAGACAUAAUAAAGGUCUUCUUUAAUAAGGAUUAUUAAUCCUAAUUGGAAUCUAGUUAUGAAUCCUACUCCAAUUGAGAAACUAACUCCAAUUGGGUAAACAACUCCAAUUGGGAAAACAAUUUAAUCCUCUAAGACUAUUAAUUCCCAAUAGACUUAGGACAACUAAUCAUGGGCUGGAAAAAAACCCAACAUCUUCGACAUCCAUGUUCCUAUCAUGGUGUUUUGACGGAAUGGAAUCCGGUGGAGUUCCAGAAGCUGUUAUACAUAUACCCUUCCGGGGUGACAUGGAAAAGUAAUUCCAGGUCUCUUCUGAAUUCCAAUCAGUUUUCCACUUAAAUGGCCAGAAAAGCAGUUCAUCAGUAGUGGUUAGAUCUUCCAAAACUUCAGCCUCAGAAGCAUGUUCUGAUGAAAAAUCACACCCAGAUGAUAUUUCAGUUUGUUCUUCACUGGGUGUAGAAACACUAGAAUUAGAUCACUGAAAGUCAUGCCUCCAACAACUACUUUUGUAAGAUUGGGCUGGGAAAAUCAGACAGAAAACAAUCCGACCUUGAAUCUGUACCUGGUGUCAGUUUGUAAUCAUCUCCAUCAAGAUUCAACAACGAAAAGCGGCAACCUAUUCUCUCAAAAUCUAGAGGAGCUAAAGAGAAACCACAACUUGGGGAUCCUUCAGAGGAAUUUCCACAAGAAGACUCAGCACCCUCAGAAGAGCAUGCAAAAUACCUCUUGCAUUCUCAUCCUCUGAACAUUUGUGUAAAUUCUUGUUUACAUAGAUCAACAUCUUCUUCUGUAGAUUCGAAAAUAGCAGCCGCAGCCUCAGCCUUCUGGUUGUUAUCGCAUAAAAAACCUGUUUCCGUCACACAUAAUCUCACGUGUUUGUUUUGAGCACUAAUUGAUCUUGGUCUAAAACACUCACCUCCUCUACGGUCAAUGCUACACUUGUUCAUUGUUCAUUGGUGACAAAGAAGAAACCCUCUUCAUAAAAUCACAACAGCCGUCUGUUCCAUUGAAUUUCAUUUGAUGGGAGUCUCGAUAACACAAAAUAAAGGCCAAGACAACCGCCAACUGCAGGAAACAAUAACAAAAAAUGAAAAUUAAACAAGAGUGGAGGCAACGUGAAGAAAGCCUACCAAGACGAGCAAACACAGAAGAUUUCAACUCUGAAUUUUUUAUGUAUAAUUACACACCACAUAGAGCAGCCAGCAAAGGCGGCAGGUACAAGUCAACGCGAUGUCGAUGAAGGAACAAAAUAUAUAAUUUAAACAUAGAUUGUCAAAACCGAAAUCCAACUGCUUAUAUCGUAAGGAUAGAACAAGUCAACAAGUCCCUUGCAUUCAACUUUGGGGGGAAUGAAAUGUAAGUUAACUCAACCAAAAUGCAGCUCUUAAGCAAAACAUUCACACUCAUUGAGACCAGUAUGCCAAAUAAGUCAUGGGCAAAAGUUGAUCAAAUUUUCAAGUUAACUAAUAGAAACCGAAAUCCAAAUAAUGGGGGAGGGAGAUUCAAACUUAGGGUCUCCUCCAACACCGGGAGGAGCAGUAUUGCUAGACUAAUUGUUUUAAUUAGUUGAAAUUCAGAAAUGUUUUAAUUAUAUUUAGGUUGAUUUUAUCACAGAUUUGUACUCUUAAUGAUGUUUUCAGUAUCUGAUGUAAUUCCUUUUUUCUUAUUUUUUAUCCUUAUUUCUCUUUCUUUUGCUUGGUGUCCAUGCAAAUUGUUUUAUGUGAUUUUAUCUUUUAGGUUUUUAGGUGUUCUUUAGACAAUCGUGUCAUGAUUCAUUUACAUUUAUGUUGUGUGUUUACAAAAAUAUAUAGGAUAUAUUAUUUCUGCUACAAUCAAAUUGACUGUUUUAUCUGCAAACCAUAGGAAACUGUUAGAGUUACGUUGCUUUCCCUUGUCUAAAAAAAUACAUCUGGAGGAGUGCUAGAUUGACCUUUUUGUUCAUGUUGAGGUAAAACAAUGAAAUAAUUUUCUAAUAUAAAAAAAUACACCUGGAGGAGUGCUAGAUUUGUUGUGCUAGGAUAGCACCAAACAUUUUUGGAACCAACUCAAGCUAAUCCACAGGAAAUUUAUCAAAUGAAAAUGCAAGAACAAAAUAUUAAAGAAAACCAAGAUUUUAACGAGGUUCCUCAACAGUCAGUGUAACUGGAGUACGUCCUCGGAGCAGUAGGAGCUCACCCAAUAAUCCACUAUCAACCAAAUGAGAGUUUACAAAGUGUUGGCAAUCUCACAACCCAAAUAACCCAAUACACCCAAUAGCUCUCACACACCACAGAAACAAAUAGAGAAAGAAAUAUAAUGAAUAAUUUCUUCUCUAUACAUGUAGCUCAAAGCUAUUACAACAUAACUAUGAUGGAUGAUUGCUAACAAAAAAGAAGAGCACCUUCUUCUUUUCUGCUCUCAGUUUUCUGCUCUCUGCAGCUCUCUUUGCUCUCUCAAAGAUGGGCUACUAAAACUGAAAAAAUGGUGCACACUUCAUCUCUCUUUCUCACUUCCGUAUAUUCACCUUCAUCCAUCCUCAACACCCAAUAAACAAAACCAAAGUAAAAACAUAAUGAUUACUUUACAAACAUCAUCAUGACUUUCCUUUUUUCUUUUCAAUAAACAUAAUCAUUUGUCUUGUUUUUUUCUUUUCCUUUUUUUAAUAGCCGAAAGUUGUUUGUUUGGCCAUAAUUCAACAAUCUCCACUUUGGCCAAAUUCCGAAAACACCAUGAUAAGCCAACCAACACAAUCAACACAAAAAUCACUCCCAAACACUAGCAAGAGAACAACUCAUGCCGAGCCAAAUGCUCCAAAACUCCUACUGCUCAACGCCUUCUUUAUAUAGGCAUAAUGUGAGCCAAGUUCAAACAGUGAACAAACUUGGCUACACCAACAACCUUAGUCAACAUAUCAGCGGGGUUGUCUUUAGUUGGAAUCUUCUGGAGAAUGAUUUCCCCUUCACCAACAAUUUCACGAACAAAGUGAUAACGCACAUCUAUGUGCUUGGUCCUCGCAUGAUGAACCUGAUACUUAGCCAAAUAAAUGGCACUCUGACUAUCACAAUGUACCUCCACCUGCUUCUGAUCAACCCCCAAAUCUCUAAUCAGCCCAUGUAUCCAAAUGGCCUCCUUUAUAGCUUCAACAACUGCCAUAUAUUCAGCCUAUGUAGUAGACAAGGCAACAGACGACUGCAAAAUGGACCUCCAACAAACUGGUCCUUUAGCCAUAGUAAACACAUAGCCUGUAGUAGAUUUCCUUCCAUCCAGAUCACCUGCAUAAUCUGAAUCAACAUAACCAAUUGCAAAAUGACCAAUACCAGAGUCAUCCCUUUCAAAGCAUAAACCAACAUCUCGAGUACCAUGGAGAUAUCUCAAUAUCCACUUAGCUGCUUGCCAAUGCUCUUUACCUGGAUUAUGCAUAUAUCGACUCACCAUGCCAACUGCAUGAGCAAUAUCCGGUUUAGAGCAUACCAUUGCAUACAUCAAACUACCAACCAAAUUUGCAUAUGGUGCAUUUUUCAUUUGCAGCUUCUCUUUAUCAUUUUUAGGACAUUGUAGAGAACUCAAUUUAAAAUGAGGAGCCAAAGGGGUACUAACCGGUUUGGUUGAAUCAUGAACUCCAAACUUCCGAAUCAACUUCUCAAGGUAUUGUCUUUGAUUCAAACUGACGAAACCUUUUGCUCUAUCUCUAGUGAUCUCCAUGCCAAGGAUCUUCUUCGCUUCAUCAAGAUCCUUCAUCUCAAACUCAUUCUUCAUUUGCUUCUUCAAUUUCUCAAUCUCUUCGACAUUCUUUGAGGCAAUCAACAUAUCAUUAACAUAUAUCAAUAAAUAAAUGAAAGACCCAUCUUGCAACUUCUUGAAGUACACACAAUGAUCAUAUUGACUUCUAGAAUAAUUUUUGGCCUCUCAUAAAUUUAUCAAACCUCAAAUACCAUUGCCUUGGAGAUUGCUUCAAGCCAUAAAGUGAUUUCUUCAAUUUGCAAAACAAAUUUUCCUUCCCUUUCACUAUAUACCCAUCCGGUUGACACAUAUAGAUCUCUUCAUUCAAAUCACCAUGUAGGAAAGCCGUCUUCACAUCGAGUUGCACAAGCUCAAGAUCAUAUUGUGCAACAAGAGCUAACAUAAUACGAAUUGAGGAGUGCUUCACAACCGGAGAAAAGAUUUCAUUGUAGUCAAUGCCCUCCUUUUGUGCAUACCCUUUAGCAACUAAUCUUGCUUUAAAUCUCACAUUGCUUUUCUCAUCAGCAUCUUCCUUCUUGGCAUACACCCAUUUGCAACCGAUAGCUUUCUUGCCCUUAGGUAAUUUAGCUAACUCCCAAGUCUUGUUCUUCAAGAGAGAAUUCAUCUCAUCACCCAUGGCAUUGCACCACCUCUUCUUCUCCUCACUCUCAAUGGCUUCCUCGAAAUUAGAUGGAAUCUCAUCAGUGAUAAUAGGAAGAGCAAAAGAAACAUAGUCACUAUACCGAGCUGGCUUGGUAAUUUGUCUCUUUCCUCUAUUCUUGGCAAUAGACUCUUGAGGUGAAACUUGCUCUUCAACUUGAAUAGAAUCUUCAAGUUCAACUUCUUCAACAUCCUCAUGGUCUCCAACUUCUUCACUUGUAGUGGCUUCGACAUCAGCGAAAAUAGGAUUUGAAGUACCAGAGGCAACUUUCUCAAGCUCCACCUGUUGGACAUCUUUCACAUUCUUCUCAGAGUCUUUGAACAUACUUUCUUCAUCAAAUGUCACAUCUCUGCUGAUUACAAGUUUUUUCAUCUCUGGACACCACAACCUGUAACCUUUGACACCACUACUAAAACCAAGAAAGAUAGUCUUUUUGGCUCUAGCAUCAAGUUUAUUUUCAGUCACAUGAAAAUAAGUAGGUGAACCAAAAAUACGGAUAUAGUCAUAAUCAGAAGAAGGUUUUCCAGUCCAUACCUCCAUUGGUGUCUUACCCUGAACAACAGCUGAGGGUAAUCGGUUGAUGAUGUGACAUGCAUAAUUAACUGCUUCUGCCCAAAAUGACUUGCUUAAACCCGACUGAGACAACAUACAUCUAACCUUCUCUGCAACUCCAUUUGUUGUGGAGUUCCCCGAACACUGAAAUGUCUCACAAUUCCUUCCUCUUUGCAAACUUUAAAGAAAUGAUCGGAUGUGUAUUCACCACCAUUAUCCGAUCUCAAAAUCUUAAUCUUUCUCCCAGUCUGGUUCUCAACCAUUUUCUUCCAACCCAAGAAAAUGUUUAACACCUCACUCUUGUGCUUCAUAGUGUAGACCCAAGACCUUCUUGAAUAAUCAUCAACAAAGGUCACGAACCAAUGUCUAGCACUCAAAAAGGGAGUCUUUGUAGGACCCCAAACAUCCGAAUGCACAUAAUCAAGAAUGCCCUUCGUCUGAUGUACAGCAGUACCAAACUUCACUCUAGUUUGCUUCCCUAAGACACAAUGCUCGCAUAAAUCAAGCUUACAAGUCGUGGCACCUUUUAGAAGACCUUGUUUCACAAGCCCUUGUAGAGCUUUCUCACCGGCAUGGCCUAAUCUCAUAUGCCACAAUCUAGUAGUAUCUGAAUCAGAUGUGCCCAUAUUUUCAGAGACUACAGAUGCUUCACCUGUCACAGUGCUUCCCUGCAAUAAAUACAAAUGGCCACAUCUAGGAGCUUUCAUCACAACAAGUGCACCAUAAGUAACUUUCAAUGUCUGUCCAUCUGAAUGAAACCUGAAACCCUUGGAUUCCAAAGUACCCAAAGAAAUAAGAUUUUUCUUCAAAUUCGGUACAUACCGAACACCUGUCAACCCUUUAACCAUGCCAUCAUGCAACUUCAAACGAACUGUACCAAUCCCUUUUGUUGUGCAAGGAUUGUCAUCUCCCAUGAACACAACGCCACCAUCAAACUCUUUCAAGCUUGAAAACCAAUCCUUGUGAGGAGUCAUAUGAUGAGUACAACCCGUAUCCAGCACCCACUUAGUAGUACAAUCAAAUGAUGAGGAAGUGGUUAAAGCAAAAUCAGAAAAAUCUGUUUCAACCUCAGCAACAUUAGCUUUAGAACUUUCUUUGCCUUUGGUCUUCAACCUAGGACAAUCUUUCUUCCAAUGGCCCUUAUUAUGACAAAAGGCACAUUCAUCCAUUUCCAAAGUUUUUCUACCUUUAGAGUUUCCUCUAGGUCGAGACUGUGAUUUUUUCCUGCUAGAAGAUGAUCUCCUCUCCGAUGAUCUACCUCUAACAAAUAAAGCUUCAGAGGUACUAUCAUGAUUUUUAUCUCUAUGCCUCAUUUCAUAAUUCAUCAAGGCAUUUGACACAUCUUCAAAUUUCACAGUUUCUUUACCAUGCAUAAUAGUGGUAACAAAAUGCUCAUAAGAGUCCGACAAGGAAUUCAACAAUAUUAAGGCCUUAUCUUCAUCCUUAAUAUCCUCAUCUAAAUUUAACAAGUCGGCAAUCAACUUAUUAAAAGCAUCAAGGUGUCUAAUCAUUUUUGUACCUUCUUUGUAUUGGAAGCGGUAGAGCUUUUUCUUCAAGUGUAGCCAGUUCUCUGCACUCUUCGUCAUAUACUUGUCUUCCAAUUUUUGCCACAACACACUUGCUACUGUCUCCCACAUCACAAAAUACUUCUGAGUUUUUGCAAGGCACAACUGAAUUGAAGAGCAAGCCCACAAAUUUAAUUUUUCCCAUUCCGGCUUCGACAUAGUUUCCGACUUCUCUCCCAAAGCGGUAAGUAGAUCUUGUUGAGCUAACACAUCUUUGACCUCACAUUGCCACAUCCCGAAGUUGUUUGUGCCAUCAAACUUUUCCACUUUGAACUUUGCAUUUUGCACCGUAGUUCUUGCAAACCCGGAGCUGCUUCCAAAAGGAUUUUCAUCUUGCCCGUCUGACAUCUUUGGCAACUAGACAGUACCCAAGAGCAACCAGUGCUCUGGUACCAAUUGUUGUGCUAGGAUAGCACCAAACCUUUUUGGAACCAACUCAAGCUAACCCACAGGAAAUUUAUCAAAUGAAAAUGCAAGAACAAAAUAUUAAAGAAAACCAAGAUUUUAACGAGGUUCCUCAACAGUCAGUGUAACUGGAGUACGUCCUCGGAGCAGUAGAAGCUCACCCAAUAAUCCACUAUCAACCAAAUGGGAGUUUACAAAGUGUUGGCAAUCUCACAACCCAAAUUACCCAAUACACCCAAUAGCUCUCACACACCAUAGAAACAAAUAGAGAAAGAAAUAUAAUGAAUAAUUUCUUCUCUAUACAUGUAGCUCAAAGCUAUUACAACAAUAACUAUGAUGGAUGAUUGCUAACCAAAAAGAAGAGCACCUUCUUCUUCUUUUCUGCUCUCAGUUUUCUGCUCUCUGCAACUCUCUUUGCUCUCUCAAAGAUGGGCUACUAAAACUGAAUAAAUGGUGCACACUUCAUCUCUCUUUCUCACUUCCGUAUAUUCACCUUCAUCCAUCCUCAACACCCAAUAAACAAAACCAAAGUAAAAACAUAAUGAUUACUUUACAAACAUCAUCAUGACUUUCCUUUUUUCUUUUCAAUAAACAUAAUCAUUUGUCUUGUUUUACUUUUCCUUUUUUUAAUAGCCGAAAGUUGUUUGUUUGGCCAUAAUUCAACAAGAUUGACUUUUUUUGUUCAUCUGUUGUUCUUAGCCCCGUCUCGAUCUCAUCUGCAACAGAAGCCGCAGCAGCAGCAGCAGGAUCAGGCAGGAGAUCAAACUCUCCAAUCAAGGCCUCCAAUUCGAAUCUGAAAAGAUUGUCAUCAUCAUCUUUUCUCUCACUGCCUCACUAUCUGACCCUGCAGUGCAGCAGGGCAGACGCCUAACAAACUGCAAAACCACAAUCAACACUUUGAAGAACUCUUCAAAAUGAGAUCAUUUUAAUACACUCUACCACUUCAUAUCGAAAAGUGCACAUAUAAACAACAUGAAACAACAAAUAUGUCACAAUUUGAAGCAUGUAAAGGCAAGCAUACCUUGCCUGCAGAUGAUAUACUAUCGGAGGGAGGAACAGCCCUCCUUGCAAUAUAUACUUCUUGACUUUACAAAAAUUUGAAGGUCAACAUUGUAGAAUAACAAACAAGAGUAUAAAGCAUAGAAGGAAGCCUUGUUCAAUUCGACAAAGUAAGACUUUUCUGAAAUCUAAAUCACGACCUGUGAAUGUUAUGUUCAACAUCAUUGUAUACUCUCUCAAUAUAAAUUAUUGAGAUAAUUUAAAUUAUUUAUUCAUCUUAGUGUGUCUCUAUGCAUGCCAAACGAUAA